rnacentral:rRNA from 1 species
CAGUAGCCGCGGGAAUACGAAGGGGGCUAGCGUUGUUCGGAUUUACUGGGCGUAAAGCGCACGUAGGCGGAUCGAUCAGUCAGGGGUGAAAUCCUGGAGCUCAACUCCAGAACUGCCUUUGAUACUGUCGAUCUCGAGUCCGGAAGAGGUGAGUGGAACUCCUAGUGUAGAGGUGGAAUUCGUAGAUAUUAGGAAGAACACCAGUGGCGAAGGCGGCCAUCUGGGACAACACUGACGCUGAGGCACGAAAGCGUGGGGAGCAAACAGGAUUAGAUACCCCUGUAGUCCCUGUCUCUUAUAC